rnacentral:lncRNA from 1 species
GAGUCGAGAAUUAAGGUUCUUUCAUUUAGGGAUUUUUUAAACGAGAGAAGGGAAAAAGAAUAUUGAAGUGAAAACUUACGAGAUAAUAUUUAGUUUAAGUGAAAACUAAAGAAUGUAGAAAACAUGCCAGCGAUGAAGUAUCCAAGUCAUGACAUAACCAUGCAAUAUUGCAAAGAAAGAAUAAAGAAAUGAGAGAACAAAAUGGUCAUCUCUUACCCCAUUUCAUGCCAGGCUACAUGUUGAAAGCUUCCAACACUGCGCGAAUCUCUCCAUUUGUUUCAAUGGCUCAUCAUACUUGAUUGAAACCAUGUAGCCCAGGACAACGACUAAUUUCAAAUAAUUGACUUGGUUGAAGCAAAAAAGCAUAGACUACAUGAAACCCAUCCAAGUUAGCAUUAUCCUAGUUCCAUCAAUGCCAUCCUACCUCCAUUUUAUGUAGAGUGUAGGAAACCAAGAGAGAAACAACAAUCUUGCUACUUCACAAGAAUUGAAUUACCUAAGGAUCAAUUAUAUGAAAUUAAAGGGCAUAUAAACUGGCCAUGAUCAUCGAAAUAGCCUUACCUCAUAUGAAGAUCUAUUGACUUGGAGAAUGCAGCACUAACUUUCCAAUUGACUCAUCAACACUGAAAGAAAAACACUAACUACAUUUGAACUCUUCAAGAAUUAAGCCCAGUGGUCUUAUGGAUAGAUACUUAAAAAAGUCAAUCUUCUAGACUUCAUUUAUCCCCGGGGCUAAUCUUACGGGCACUUCACUCUCCUAGUUAAUAACUAUCAUUCAAGAAACUAAAAAAUAGUGAUUAUUAAAAAAUUUAGAGAGAGAUUUUAUAAGUGAGCUGUAUACCAGUAAAUAAAAAUCUCCAAUAACAAUAGAAAAACUUGAUUCUGCAAUUAAGCAAACCAUUCCUCCUAUAUUAAUCCCUCUCAAUAAUCCAUGCUCGUACUCUUCCCUCUCAAAGCAGAGACAAUAAGACAAAUGGAGGGAGAGCAACAUGAAACUAUGCAGCUCAAUAUGAUAAAGAAACUAGCUUCACUAGGUAUGAUGGUGUCAACAAAAAGAAAACAGUAAUAACAACCAUGUAUCUUAACAAGAAUACCCAACAUGAUCUUAAUCCUAAGGGGUGUAGCUCAACUGAUUAAGCUCUGGGUUUGCUUCCCAGAGAUUAUUACCAAUUCGAGACAAACCUCAGAGCCACUGGAGGCUUACAUGGUCCUUAACUUUAGGGCCCGUGGGAUUAGUCGAGGUGUGCACAAGCUAGCCCAGACAUCCACGUUAAUCUAAAAAAAAUAGAAUACCCAACAUGAAAAAGACAUGUGAGACUGUUGCGCCCUGAAUAUAACCUAUUUCAAUAAUUAAGCCAAGCAAUCAUGUAGACAACUACAAAGUGACUAGACCAAGCAAGUCAUAUUAUCAGUACAUAAGAAACCACAAAAUUAUUACCUCAGAUGCCUACUUUGUUUUAUCUGUAUUAAGCUAUUCCAAGCAUCAGUCUUUCUCCACUUUUGACUCUUUCUUUGCCCAACGCAUUCAUAAAAAUAUUGCCUAUAAGAGUGAAAGCCUUACAAACACAGUAAUAAAAGACUAUUUGCCGUAGAAAAAAAGUGAAGUGAAAUAUGUACAAGGCCAGAGUUAUACAUGCACACAAAUACAAGUUCUGUAUUUUGGUUCAAUUUCAAAGUUCAAGUAAAACACAAAAUAUUUUUGUUCAUUAUAAUAGGAUUUUGAGGUUCAUCCUCUUAACCUCCAUAAAUCAUUAAUGGCAUUUCAAGUUCUUUUCCCAUGCAAGUGUCUCAGCAGCAGGUAUUAAAAAUGAAAAAGAACAGCCACAACAAAAUUGAACUACAAUUCUGUGAGAUAAGGGAACCACCUGCUCCAAACUUUUCAAGGUAAAGAUAAUGGAAAGAACAUAUAACAAUGAUGAUCAACUGAAAUAAAGAAGGAAAAAGAAAUGAUACAUAUUUUAGCAUUCAAAAUACGUUCCUGAUCGACAUCCCAAUCAAAAAGGAUUUCUAGUAUAUUUAGCUGAAACAGGAUUUUAAAGGUUGCCUAGAAGAUAAACAAAAAAUUAUCCUAACUGUAUUGCAUUCUACAAAUAAAUUUAUCAUUCAAUAACAUCUCCUCAUCCAAGCUUUAGUUUUCUCUAAAAUACUCUCCAUUGUGUUCUUAAUUUUUUUGCAAGUUUCCACUCCAAGAAAGUCGGAGUAUUAGGAGCAUUAAAUUUGAAUCACAUUAUUAGUCUCAUUUAAAUUGCAAAUGACAAAAUCAAGGUGAGGGGCCUUUUCGCUUCAAUAUGUUCAUUCCAACCACACUCACAUAAUUUCCCAGCUGAUUUCUGACAAUUUUACCAUCAAGAAUAUCUGACAAUGGUUGAAUUUUAAGUGAUUUAUUUUAGAGGUUCUAAAAACCACAGAAUCAGAAAUUAUCCACAUAAAAGAUAUAUUUGACAAUGUAAAUGUUAGAAUUAUAGAUAGAUAGAUAGAUAUCUAUCUUUUCUGGGUAGUCUUGACACAAUACCAUAACAAGCCAAUAGCCAUUUUAUCCAUCAUAUCAAAUUGAAGUAAUUUAAAAUACCAGCAAACACAUUACUGUUAACAACCCCACAUAGACCAAGUUGUGAGACAAGUAAAUCAGGCACUCUCACAUGCCUCCAAUAAAAUAUACAGGAAAUUAGGAAAGAACCUGAAUGCUUGGCUGAACCGAGGUGCCAUGUGUCUGCAAAAGUAGGUCUACAACCAUACAAAGAAGGAAAAAAGAAAGCAUACAUAACCCCAUUUUCCAAAUUCUAAAAAAAAUAUGAAAAUAGAGAGAAAAAAGACUAAACCUAGGAUAAUUUUAGCAAUUAUUGACCAAGAAUAUUUUAUAAUUCAUAAGGCGAGACAUAAGAUAAAUGCGAUAAAAAGGAUAAAUAAUGUUCAUGACCUGAAUUGAAGUUUCUUUCUCAAGAUAAUCCUGCAAGAAACCACAUAAUCAGACUAAAUAAUCAAACAAACACAACAGAAGAGAGAACAGAAGAUAAAAGAGAAGAACGUUAACAAAGAAAGAACUAUAUAAAUUCUAAUUCAAACUGGAAAUCAAACAAAGAAAUAUUCAAACUGAAAAUUAAACAAAGAAAUAAUAACUAAAUAAAAGAUAAAAUCUUAAGAGCGUGAACCUUCAAUCAUACCUUAGAAGUGAAACUUGAUGAACGAUCUUUCUUAGGGCUUUUGUUUAAGAGAGAGAGGAUUUUGAAAACCCAGAUAGAGAGGCAUGAGCGAAAAAUGAAGAAAGGGGUUUCCUUUCUUCGUUUAUAUACACAGUUUGGUUUGCUUGAUAGAAAUGAA